rnacentral:rRNA from 1 species
UACGUAGGUGGCAAGCGUUGUCCGGAUUUAUUGGGUUUAAAGGGUGCGUAGGCGGCCUUAUAAGUCAGUGGUGAAAUACUCCAGCUUAACUGGAGGGGUGCCAUUGAUACUGCAAGGCUUGAGUGGAGUCGAGGUAGGCGGAAUUGACGGUGUAGCGGUGAAAUGCUUAGAUAUCGUCAAGAACACCGAUAGUGUGGACAGCUUACUAGGCUCAUACUGACGCUGAGGCACGAAAGUGUGGGGAUCAAACAGG